CGGACGGGUGAGUAAUGUCUGGGAAACUGCCCGAUGGAGGGGGAUAACUACUGGAAACGGUAGCUAAUACCGCAUAACGUCGCAAGACCAAAGAGGGGGCCUUCGGGCCUCUUGCCAUCGGAUGUGCCCAGAUGGGAUUAGCUAGUAGGUGGGGUAACGGCUCACCUAGGCGACGAUCCCUAGCUGAUCUGAGAGGAUGACCAGCCACACUGGAACUGAGACACGGUCCAG
rnacentral:rRNA from 1 species